rnacentral:rRNA from 1 species
CCUACGGGAGGCUGCAGUGAGGAAUAUUGGUCAAUGGGCGCGAGCCUGAACCAGCCAAGUAGCGUGAAGGAUGAAUGCCCUACGGGGUGUAAACUUCUGUUAUAAAGGAAUAAAGUGAGGCACGUGUGCCUUUUUGUAUGGACUUUAUGAAUAAGGAUCGGCUAACUCCGUGCCAGCAGCCGCGGUAAUACGGAGGAUCCGAGCGUUAUCCGGAUUUAUUGGGGUUAAAGGGAGCGUAGAUGGGUUGUUAAGUCAGUUGUGAAAGUUUGCGGCUCAACCGUAAAAUUGCAAUUGUUACUGGCAGUCUUGAGUACAGUUGAGGUCGGCGGAAUUCGUGGUGUAGCCG